rnacentral:rRNA from 1 species
GUGGGGAAUAUUGGGCAAUGGGCGAAAGCCUGACCCAGCAACGCCGCGUGAAGGAAGAAGGCCCUCGGGUUGUAAACUUCUUUUAUGAGGGACGAAGGAAGUGACUGUACCUCAUCAAUAAGCCACGGCUAACUACGUGCCAGCAGCCGCGGUAAUACGUAGGUGGCAAGCGUUGUCCGGAUUUACUGGGUGUAAAGGGCGCGUAGGCGGACUGGCAAGUCAGAUGUGAAAUCCAUGAGCUCAACUCAUGAACUGCAUUUGAAACUGUUGGUCUUGAGUAUCGGAGAGGCAAGCGGAAUUCCUAGUGUAGCGGUGAAAUGCGUAGAUAUUAGGAGGAACACCAGUGGCGAAGGCGGCUUGCUGGACGACAACUGACGCUGAGGCGCGAAAGCGUGGGGAGCAAACAGGAUUAGAUACCCGGGUAGUCC